UGCCAGCAGCCGCGGUAAUACGGAGGAUGCGAGCGUUAUCCGGAUUUAUUGGGUUUAAAGGGUGCGUAGGCGGAAUAAUAAGUCAGUGGUGAAAUCCUGCAGCUUAACUGUAGCAUUGCCGUUGAUACUGUUAAUCUUGAGUAUGGUUAAGGUAGGCGGAAUGUGUAAUGUAGCGGUGAAAUGCUUAGAUAUUACACAGAACACCGAUUGCGAAGGCAGCUUACUGAACCAUAACUGACGCUGAGGCACGAAAGCGUGGGGAGCGAACAGGAUUAGAUACCCUGGUAGUCCACGCCGUAAACGAUGAUCACUCGCUGUUAGCGAUACACAGUUAGCGGCUAAGCAAAAGCAUUAAGUGAUCCACCUGGGGAGUACGGCCGCAAGGCUGAAACUUAAAGGAAUUGGCGGGGGAC
rnacentral:rRNA from 1 species